GCAUGUGUUCGAUGUUUUUCUUUCUGGAUUGCAUCGGUCCAGUUUCGUCAGGGUUGGUGGGUGGUCAGCUGUGUCCUCUCCUUGUUAGUGCUAUCAGAAUCAAAAUGUUAAAAUCUGCAAUGAAAAUAUACAAGAAUCCCCUCCACCAAAAAAUCCAAUGCAAUGUGCAUUGGUGCAGGAAGGAUGAUGAUGAUCUUUUUCUUUGACUGAACUGAACUACUUUCAACUUCCUGAAGAGUAGAGCUAUGAUGAAUGUGCAACACUACAAGAAAAUAUUGACCAUCUUAUGAUAGGCAAACAAGUUAAAAAGAUUGGAUACUUCUUGCAGCAUUAUCCUGUUUCAUGAUAAUAUCUGCCUCCACAUAAUAAAUGCUAUCAAAGAUCUCUUGAAGAAAUUGGAGUGGGAAGUCCUCACCAUCCUCCUGUAAUCCAGACCAAUCACCUUGUGGUUUCACAUCUUCGAUGAACUCAAGAAAGCUUUGUGUAGAUGCAAAUAUAAGACAGAUGAUGACCAUUUCACAUUAUAUCAACUUGCUCUCUUCUAAUCUAAAUAAGUAAAAAUGCACCAUGGGCGG
rnacentral:lncRNA from 1 species